UACGUAGGCAGCAAGCGUUGUUCGGAAUUACUGGGCGUAAAGAGCUCGUAGGCGGUUUGCUAAGUUUGGUGUGAAAUCUCCCGGCUUAACUGGGAGGGUGCGCCGAAAACUGGCAGACUCGAGUGCGGGAAAGGAAAGCGGAAUUCCUGGUGUAGCGGUGAAAUGCGUAGAUAUCAGGAGGAACACCUGUGGUGUAGACGGCUUUCUGGACCGUAACUGACGCUGAGGAGCGAAAGCGUGGGUAGCAAACAGG
rnacentral:rRNA from 1 species